rnacentral:lncRNA from 1 species
UGAAAUCUCUCUCAAAUCAGACAAAUUGUAAAAACCCUUCACCUAAUCGAAUCGCUACCCUCAAAACCCAAUCCAGUGGAGCCAACCUGAAGGCCUAUUCUUAUUUUCCCUUCCUUUUCUCCAAAAGAUCUUAACAGACUCUACUUUCAACUAUUCCUUAUAUCAUAUAAAGAAGCAAAAGCCACCGAAUCUCCUUCACAAUCCCACCAUGAAAGCAAGCUAUUAUGGGGAAAGUGAUUGAAAUGGAGGCAUAAUUUUACAUUUUAAACUGCUCUGGAGGCAAGCUUGUCACUGUUAGAAUUGAAAAUGGG